ACUCCUACGGGAGGCAGCAGUGGGGAAUAUUGCACAAUGGGCGCAAGCCUGAUGCAGCCAUGCCGCGUGUAUGAAGAAGGUCUUCGGGUUGUAAAGCACUUUCAGUAGGGAGGAAGGUAGUGGUAGUUAACACCUGCAUUAUUUUGACGUACCUACAGAAGAAAGCACCGGCUAACUCCUGCCAGCAGCCGCGGUAAUACGGAGGGUGCGAGCGUUAAUCGGAAUUACUGGGCGUAAAGCGCAUGCAGGCGGCCUGUUAAGUCAGAUGUGAAAGCCCGGGGCUUAACCUCGGAAUUGCAUUUGAAACUGGCAGGCUAGAGUCUUGUAGAGGGGGGUGAG
rnacentral:rRNA from 1 species